rnacentral:lncRNA from 1 species
GGAAUCGUCACUUUCAGGGAUGAUCCAAAGCUGGAGGCCGGUGAAGAGAUUGCACCUGAGCUCUUCAAAGCAAUUCAACAAUCAUGGUGCUCACUAAUCGUUUUCUCGGAAAACUAUGUCUUUUCAGGUUGGUGCUUGGAGGAACUUGCUGAGAUUGUUAAACAGAAAAAGGAGAAUGGUCAUAAAGUAUUUCCAAUUUUCUAUGAUGUGGAUCCAUCUGAUUCAAGAAAACAAAAAGAGAAAGUUGAAGCAGCUUUUGCAAAACAUGAAGAGAGAUACAAGGAAGAUGAAGCAAAGAUCCAAAGGUGGAGAAAUGCUUUAACUGAAGUGGCUAAUAUCAAGGGAUGGCACUCAAAUUAUAGGUAUUUUUUUCUUCAUUUUACUUGUAAAUUUAAUAAUUACAAUUUUUUUUUGAAUUAGCUGUUUUUUAUAUAUAUCGACAAAAUCGGAAAAUUGUUAUUUUCUAGUGUUAUAAGGCAAAUAAGGCAAUAACACCAGAAAAACUAUAAACUCAAGUCCUCCAAGUGUAUCCUAAAUUUGUUCCAUAGAGUACUAUGCGUUUCACAUCUUAAUUUUUUCCUAGAUCAUUUAACUUCAUUUCCAUACCAAUAAUUUUCUUAAUUAAAAAUUAAAUCUUUUUAUCUUUGUAGGCAUGAAUCAGAAUUUAUUGGAGACAUUAUUAAAAAAAUAUCAGCAAAGUUAUGUCAAACAUAUCCAAUUGAGCAUGAUGAGUUAGUUGGUAUCAGUCCAAGCUUGGAUGAUUUGCAUUCGAAAAUAGAAAUUGGGGAAGAUGAUAUCCGUAUCAUGGGAAUUUGUGGUAUGGGUGGCAUUGGCAAAACAACCCUCGCAAGAGUUGUUUAUAGUCGCUUGUCACCUUAUUUUGAAGGGAAAAGCUUUCUUGCUGAUGUUCGAGAAGUUUCAGAGAAAUGUGGACUUGUUUCUUUACAGAAACAACUACUUUCCCAGAUCUUGUCUGAUGAAAGCUUCAAUUUUUUCAAUGUUCAUGAAGGGAAAACCAUAAUUAGUCAUAGGUUGUCUCACAAAAAAGUUCUUGUUGUUCUUGAUGAUGUUGAUAACCUACAACACUUGAAAUGCUUGGUUGGAAAGUGUAAUUGGUUCGGUUUAGGGAGCAGAAUCGUUGUAACAACAAGAGAUGAACAUUUGCUCCGAUCUUAUCGAGUUGAUGGUGUGUAUAAGCCUACAACACUGAAAGCCAUUGAUGCACUUCAUCUUUUCAAUUUGAAAGCUUUUGGUUGCAAGACAGCGCUAAAAGAGGAUUUCAUUGAGCUCGCUAAACAUAUCGUAGGUUAUGCUGGUGGACUCCCAUUAGCUCUUGAAGUUUUGGGUUCUUUUUUGUGUGAUAGAGAUGCAAGGCAAUGGAAAAGUACAUUAGAAAGACUUGAAAGAGUUUCUAACAAAGAAAUUCUUGACAGACUUCAAAUAAGUUUUGAUGGACUGGAAGAAAGGGAGAAGAAUAUAUUUCUAGAUAUAACAUGCUUCUUUAAUAGUGAGGAGAAAGAUUUUGUAAUGAAAGUAUUGGAUGGUUGUGAGUUUUUUUCCAAAUAUUGGAAUUAAUGUUCUUAUUAAAAAAUCUCUACUAACUAUUAACAGACACGACCAGUUGUUGAUGCAUGACUUGCUACAAGAAAUGGGAAGAAAAAUUGUUAGGGAAAAAUCUAUCGAUGAACCUGGAAAACGUUGCAGAUUGUGGGAGGAAAGAGAUGUAUAUCAUUUGCUAACAAAAACAACUGUAAGUAAUUCCAUAAAAAUUAUAUAUAUGUAGCUUAAUUUAUUCAAACAAUUAAUUUUAAGAUGUGGCAUUAAUUAGAUUUGAGGUUGAAUUUGAAACGAUUACAUCUUUGGUACAAAAACAUAUAUAUAAUCUAUUAUAUUUAGGAAGUAUUUAUUAUUAAUAUCGAUAAAGUAAAAUGAGUAGAUUUGUUGUUUAAAUUUUUAAAAUGUGUCAUUUAGAAAUUAUCUUGUUGAUUAUAAAUAUUAAUAAGACAUGCACGAUAUGUAUAAACAAAAAUGUAAUUUCAUUGAAUUACUUUAGUUGAAAAUGUUUUUUUAGCUUGUUUUUUUACUAUACAUGCAAUGAUAAUCAUAAAUGUAAACUUUACGAGCUUUUGUAAUAUUUGUACUUUUCAUUUUUUUUAGGCUACAGAAAUUAUUGAAGGUUUAAUCAUCGACAAUAAAAAGUAAGAUGACAUAUAUAUCUAUAUAUAAUUUUAAUGUUGUUGUUUUUUUUGUAAAAAUAAUUAAAAAGAAGUGGCAACUCUUUAAUGCUUAAUAUUUAAAAAAAAGUAAAAAAAAAAAGUAGUAUGAAUUAUUGAAAAAAAGAAUGUUGCAUUUAAUUGUAUCUAUUUUCUUGCAUUCUCUCUUUAGCCAAACACCUUUCUUGUUUCUAGCCUUCUGUGUCUGUAAAUAUCAGCUCCAAUUCUUUAAAGCUAUGUUAUUCAAAUUAGGAUAUAAGUGUUAUAUGUGAGUUGUAUUUGACAUGUGUAUAUUAAUUUUUCUUAACUUUUUCAUAUAUUUCAAAAGCCCUUGAAGGAUUAUAUCUUUAUAUCCACAUCUGAACAUACUUUAGAUGUAAGUGUUAGACAUGAGUAUUUCAAAAAAGAAGCAAUGAAGUGAUUAACGUUUUAGAGAUUAUGUUUUAUAUAGCUUUAUUCUUAUACUUGUUCUGUUGGAAAAUUUGGACAUUAUAUAUAUAAUAAGGAUAAUUACAUGUUAUUAUUUACUAUCAUGAUAAGUUAGACCAAAUUAAAAGUGAUCUAAUUUGGUUAGAAUUUUAUUGGGCUUUUAAUUAUUAAAUAAAGUAUGGGUCAAACAUGUGUAGAUACUCUUCUAAUCAAAUUCUAAUUAAUGAUGGGUUAAUUAGAAUUUGAUUAGAACUAAUAUGCUAAGGUUAUAAAUAUUAGGGUUAUGGUCCCCAAAUUAUACACAAGACAUCUUUUCUAAUAUCCCAUCAUUAGGAAAGAGAGAGCAGAUAUUCUCUGAAUUUCUUGUGUGCUAAUUUGGAAGAUCAAAUCCCCAAAGUUUCAAAAAGUCGAUCUCAAGGAAUCCAUGGAUUCAGAUACGCUUCCGCAUCUUGUUUUGUUCUUAAUUUAUUCUUGAUGAUUUGACAUGACAGAUCCUAGUUUAUUAAGUUUUAUUUUAGAUUUAUUUUAAUAAAAUCUAACAAGUGGUAUCAGAGCUUUGUCAUGUUGAAUCAUUGGGAAUGAAUUGAUUCUUUAUUAAUUUUGGAUUGAUUCUUUUUUUUUUAGUUUUAUGGAUUUGAUAUUUUAAUUAUAUAUUAUGUUGAAUCUUUGAGAUUCUUGAUAAAUUUUUAGGUUUUGAUUCUUUAAAUAAAGUUUUAAAGUUUUAUAAAUAAAAUCUAGUUUAAUAUUUGCAUAUGUUAUUCGAAAGAUGAAGGUUUAUAUAUUUAUUUAUAAUCAAUUGAUAAAAAUUGAUUUGUGAGAUUUCUUUCUCUCUUUUUUUCACACAAUUAUUUUAUAAGUUUUGGUAAAGUCAUUAUUAAAUUGAAAUUACAGACUUACAACUUUUUUGCAAUUGGAGAAUUCCAAUUGGGUUGUAUAAUUAGCUUUGAAAGUUAUUCACUUGAUAAGAUAUAUUUUUUUCGUACUAUUUGUUUUAAAUUUUCUGUUUGUAGUUGAAUAUAUAUGAAAUCAUCAUCUUUUAUCUUUAUUUAUGAUGAAUUAUAUUCACCAUUCAUAUAUACAAAUGAUUACUUUUAGUUUCUUUUAUAAUUAUUUUAUGUAAGUUUUAGUCUUUAUGGAAUCUAACUAAAAUUAAAAUAUUUGGGAUUAUUUUUUUUAAAUAUGGUGGCUAUGAAUUUUCAUAAGUAGUUGCGCAUAUAAAGAAUUUUAUAUGAUUUGGGAUUCUUUUUGUAUUUUGUGGUUAUGAAUUUUUUUUAAAGUAUUUGUGAGUAUAAAGAAGUUUUAUAAUAAUGUUUUUAGUCAUGAAUAUAAAUUUGAGUUUACAUCAAAUAUGUAAGGCAAGCCAAUAUUAUUUUUAUAUUUGUGUGUGUAUAUAUAUUAUAUGCAUAUCAAUGAUUUUGAGGAUUAAUGCAUGAUUAUAGUUUGUGUAAACAGACGUUUAUAACCAUUAUUCAAUAAGAUAUAUUUUACAGUUUAAUUGGUGAAAUUAAGUUUUGAUGGAUAUCAUUGAAGUUAAUUUUUUUGUUAUGGUUAUAUAUUAAAUUUUAUGGGUGCUUUGGUGCAAAUUCAUGUCAACUAUAUACAUAUUUAAAUAUUUUGGUUUUAAAUUUGGUUAUAUAAUUUUAGGUUUUGGCAUAUUAUGGUUCCAAAUAUUUGGUUAAAUUAUGAUGAUAUGAUUUAUUGUAUGAAUUGUGGGAUAUGCCAACUAUUAUGAUUUUGUUUUUUGAGAUUUAUUGGCUUGAAAAUAUUUUUCAAGUAUUUAUGUGAAUAUCUAUUUAAUCAUAAAUACAACUUUGGAUUUACAUGGUAAAUUCAGGGUAAGUUUUUCUAUUUGAUUAUGAAUACAUGUAUAUGCGUGAAUUGUUUUGGUGUUUUUAUCCAUGCCAAAAUUAUGAAUACAUGUGCUUGUUAAUUAUUUGGCUUUGAACCACUACAUUAUUUCUGUUUGGUUUUGAUAUAUGAUUUUGGAACAAAAAAAGAAGAAGGAAAUAGUCAAAAAAAUUAAGGUUUUCGGUUUUUUUAUUGCAUUAUUAAGACAAACUUAUUUAGGGUUAUUUCAGAGUUUAUAAAGCAAUAAAAAAAAUUAGUUUUGACAUUUGACUAUUGGGGAAAUUUAAAUUUGAAUAUUGGUAUGUUUAUAUAUAUUUUAAAAUAACUUAAUUGAAGCAAAAAGUCACCAAAGUGAUUUUUUUGUAUAAAUUAUUUUGUUUUAAAAUAUAAAAGUUUGUGUGCAUGUAACUUAAGUUAUGUUAAUAUUGAUUGGCCCAAGUGAAGGUUAAUCAUAUUACAUGUGCAACUAUGGUGAUAAACAUGUGACGGUUAUUCGAUUUUACAUGUGAGUAAUAAAUUGGCCCAAAGGAAGAUUUAUUAUUCGACAUGCUCUUAUUGUCAAUGUUUGAUUACUACACCAAGAUAUCACUUAUAAAUUAAUAUUUUGUCCAAAGAUGAAAUAUUAAUAGAGUGUCCGAUAUCUUAAAAUGACGUUUACCUUUAUUCAAAUUAUUUUGGUUUAAAUUUGAAGUCUUAUGUGAAGUUGUUUAUGGUUUAUGAUUUAUUCAACUAUUAUUAUAUUUUCCAACAUCAUUGUAUGUUGUUUUGGGAUAAAUAUAUAUAUAUAUCUUUUAAUUUGAUUGAAAGAUGAAAUUAAGGUAAAUAUUUUGAAACAAAUAAAUUCAGAUUUUGGCUUUUAAUUAAGGAUGUGUAAUAUAUUAAAUAAAUUAGUUGAAACAAAAUGCCACCAAAGUGACCUCUUUUGUGUAGAUUAGUUUAUUUGAAAUAUUAAGAUGAUUAUAUGUUUUUGUGAUUCAUGCGUUUAUUAAUUUACCCAAAGGUAAGUUAAUAUUUGGCAGAAUUACAACGACAUCUGUGGUGAUAAAUGUGUGACAAUUAUAAGGUAUUUUAUGUGAACAAUAAGUUAGUCCAAAGAUUAAUUCAUUGUUUAACAUAGUUUAUUGUCAAUGUUUGAUUGCUACAAUAAGAGUACCGCUUACUGUUAAUAUUACUGUCCAAAGACUUAAUAUUAAUGUUGUGUUUGGUAUCUUGAGAUGGGAUUAGCCAUUAUCCUGAAUUUAUUUUUUACUAUGAAUAUUGAUGUGAGCUUAUUUUUAUUUAUUUUUUGUUCUAUAUUCAGCUAAUUCAUAUUCUACUGCCACAAUAUCUGCUAAUAUAAAUUCUGUACCCAUACUUAAUGGGGCUAAUUUCAAUGAAUGGAAAAGGCACUUACUUAUAGUGCUUGGCUAUAUGAACAUAGACCUUACACUAAAGGAAGAACUACUCGCACCUCUCACUGCGGAAAGUAACCCCUAUGUUAAAAGGGAUUUUGAGAGGUGGAAUCGUUCAAAUUGCAUGAGUCUGAUGCUCAUGAAGCACAAUAUUUUAGAAGCCUUUAAGGGCAUAGAAUCUGAAAAGAUUACUCAAGCCAAGGUUUCCUUGAUGAAAUUGAGAAACGUUUUACUAAAAAACGAUAAGGUUGAAAUGGCAUCACUUAUGACUUCUUUGAUGUCUGUAAAGUUAAGGGUUAAGGAAAUUCUGAGCAAUCUAAGGGCUAUGAAUUUUAUGAUCCCACAAUUAGGAAUAUUUUUUGAGACAAGAAUUACAACAUUUUUUGAGGAUGUUGAGUUUGGAGGGAGAAAUAAGGUUAGAACAUUGCUUUUGAGGAGGAAUUGGAUUCUAACUCAGUUCCUACUAUCACUUUUGAUGAUGUUUAGACUCUCAUACCUAUCAUUGAUUAAGAAGUGAAUCUAGAACCUCAAUAAGACAAUGUUAAACAACUCCCUAUUCAAGAUGAGGUAAUUGUUCCAGAAGAACAAACUCAACAACCUUAAGAAUGAAUGUCAUUAGAAAGGUCCACUAGAGAAAGGGUUAAAAUGGCUUUAGUGGAAUAUUUUGACUUUAAGCUACAUCAAAUGAAUAUUAAGUUAAUGGUUUCUCAAUGGUAACAUUGAUCAUACAUUUAUAUGGUGCAAUUAGAAAACUUUGUGUCUGGUGAUACAAAAGUAAUGAUUUGCAAAUUAAAGAACUUUAUCUAUGGGCUUAAGUAGACUUCUCGUCAAUAAUAUACAAAAUUUACCAAAUGAUUAUCUCAUUCGGUUUAGAGAUGAAUUUUGUUGAUAAUCGUUUAUACCAUAAGUUUAGUGGGAGUAAAGUUUUAUAUUUGGUUUUAUAUGUUAAUGACAUAUUGCUUGUCAAUAAUAAGUAUAGCCUCAAUCAAUGCCCUAAGAAUGAUAUUAAGAUUACAAAAAUGCAUUAGAUUUUUUACAUUUUAGCAGUGGAAAGUUUAAUGUAUGUUCAGGUUUGUAUACAUUGGAAUCUUGUAUACACUAUUGGGAUGUUAGGCAGAUAUUUUAAGCAACCCUAGUUUGGACCAUUAGAUAGCAUCCAAGAGGGUUAUAAGGUAUUUUCAGAGAAUAAAAGAUUACAUGCUCACAUAUUGGAGGUCUAAUCAGAUAGAGAUCAUCAAGUAUAUAGACUCCGAUUUUGAUGGAAUAUGGAUAAAAGAUUUUGUCACUAAGGUGCAAAUUGUGAAAAUAAAUUGCAGUCUUUUAUUCCAAUAGCAACAGGAGCACAUUAAAGUCAAAACACAUAGACUUUAAGUUCCUGGUUGUUAAAGUAAAAGUUCAGAGUGGUUAAGUGCUUAUAAAGCAUAUUAGGACAAACUCCAUAAUUGCGGAUCCGCUUAUUAAGGAACUACACCUAAGGUUUUAUAAGAGCACAUUGCUCAUAUAGGUGUAAUGUCAUUUAAAGGAUAUUUGGUUUUAGUGGGAGUUUGUAUUUUUAAAUGCUUUUAUGUUAUAGACACAUUUUCAGUUAUUUCAGUUUAAAGAUAAUAAGUUUAUUUUCUGUAGAAAUAAAGUUUAUUUGGUUUAUUCACACUCUGAUUUUGGUAAGAUUUGAUCUCACUAAGGAGGACCAGUUGGAAAUAGACAUGUUUAGAUCAUAUUGCAAGUAAUUUCCAUGCUACACAUCCAUACUUGAUCUAUGUCAUUUGGUUGUGUUAAUAUACGUGAUCAUGGAUGGAUUUAGUUACGAUAUUUGUAACGAAAGUCGCCUUGGUUCUAUGUUAACAUAAUUAAUGGACGAGAUUGUACGGAAUGCCUUUUGGAUAUGAUAGUAAAACUUUGAGCUCAUAAGGUUAUAUAAUGACAUGUAAUUAUAAAGUAAUUAGUAUAUAUAUGUGGUCCAAGUGGGAGAUUGUUGGAAAAUUUCGAUAUCACAUAUAUAAUAAGGAUAAUUACAUGUUAUUAUUUAAUAUCAUGAUAGGUUAGCCCAAAUUAAAAGUGAUCUAAUUUGGUUAGAAUUUUAUUGGGCUUUUAAUUAUUAAAUAAAGUAUGGGUCAAACAUGUGUAGAUACCCUUCUAAUCAAAUUCUACUUAAUGAUGGGCUAAUUAGAAUUUGAUUAGAACUAAUAUGCUAAGGUUAUAAAUAUUAGAGUUAUGGUCCCCAAAUUAUACACAAGACAUCUUUUCUAAUAUCCCAUCAUUAGGAAAGAGAGAGCAGAUAUUCUCUGAAUUUCUUGUGUGCUAAUUUGGAAGAUCAAAUCCCCAAAGUUCCAAAAAGUCUCAAGGAAUCCAUGGAUUCAGGUACGCUUCCGCAUCUAGUUUUAUUCUUAAUUUAUUCUUGAUGAUUUGACAUGACAGAUCCUAGUUUAUUAAGUUUUAUUUUAGAUUUAUUUUAAUAAAAUCUAACAUGUUCGCCCAGGGAAUUGAACAAGACUCUUACUUUGAAUGGGGAUAUUUUCUUGAAGAUGAAAAGAUUAAGAUUGCUCAAAGUCCAUUGUCUUCCAAAUUGUUGUGAUCUCACCUACCUUUCUAAUGAGUUACGACUUUUAGAAUGGUCAGGAUAUUCUUUAAGAUCUCUGCCUUUAGGCUUCCAACCGGAAAAUCUUGUUGUACUUCUCUUGCCUUAUAGCAAUAUUGAACAAUUGUGGAAGGAAAAUACAGUAAGAAUUAACUCAUUUUGUCUUUGUUUUCUAAUUCGAGAAGAAGGUAUUAAUAUAGAAGAAUAAAAAUGAAAAUAAGCUUCACCAUAUUUUUUCUCCUUUUAUCUCUAAUUUAUUAUUGUUUUCAACAGCCCCUGUAUAAGUUGAAAGUGCUCAACCUCAAAGGGUCGGGAAACCUGAUCAAGGCACCAGACGUUAUAACUGCCCCAAAUCUUGAAAUUUUGGUUUUGGAAGGUUGUACUAGAUUAGUAUAUGUCCAUCCAUCUGUUGGAGUUCUUACAAGGCUUAAGCUUUUGAAUUUAGGAGGCUGCAAAAGUCUGAGGAGUUUUCCAACCAGAAUUAGAAUGGAAUCCCUUGAAAUGUUAACUCUUUUAGGUUGCUCAAAACUUCAAAGCUUUCCAGAAAUUGAUGGGAAAAUGGAAUGUUUGUUGGAGGUUUGUUUUGAUGGGACAAACAUUAAAGAGCUACCUUCUUCAAUCGAAAAUCUCAGAAGACUUGAAGUUUUGAAUUUAAAAGACUGUAAAAGUCUAAGGAGUUUUCCAACCAAAAUUGGAAUGGAAUCUCUUGAAAAGUUAAUUCUUUCAGGUUGUUCCAAUCUUAAAAGGUUUCCAGAGAUUGAUGGCAAAAUGGAAUGCCUGCAAGAGCUUUAUUUAGAUGGGACGGGCAUUAAAGAGCUACCUAUUUCAAUUGGAAAUCUGAGCAGUCUUGUUUUGUUAAAUUUGAAAGAUUGCAUGAACCUUGUGGAUCUGCCCGGUAGCAUAGGUGAGUGUAAAAGUUUAAAAUCUCUUAAUCUUUCUGGUUGUUAUAAAGUUGAAUAUUUGUGAUAUAGAUCUUUUCAUUGGAAAACAAUAUCAACGGAGGAAUAGGAAUUAGAAUUCUACAUUUAUUUAAUUUCUUUAGGAGUUUUAGUUUUACUAGGUUUUUUAUUUCCUUAUAAACUUUAAAUUAGGAAUUCUAUUAGGACUUUAAAUUAGGAAUUAAAUUAGGAUUUUCCUUUGUAAUUAACAGCCUAUAAAAAGGUUGCCAAUAUGAAAAAAAAGGGGGGUUAUUUUUUAUCACAAACGUUAGUUUGGGAAGGGGGUUCAGUCAAAGAUGAAUCUGCCUUUGAGUAACCAUAGGUCGAAGCAAGGAUACUUUCUCGUCUAGACCUGUGACUAGAUCUUACGCCAAGGCGCAUAAAAACUUGGUAUCAGAGCCAGUUGUCAUGGGUGACGAAAAAACUUUGACAGCCAAGCUGGAGGCAUUUAUGGAACAAAUGGCUACAAGGCAACAAGUAUUAGAGGAGCAGAUGGCGAUUUUAUCUCUUUCGGUCCAAAAGACAACGAAAGAGAAUUUAGAAAAAAAUAAUGAAGAACAAGGCAGCAGUGGAGGCAAGAAAAGAAAUUCAGAUUCACAACACGGUGGGGGCAUGGUGCCAAGAUACUCCAAGAUGGAAUUUCCCACUUAUGAUGGUGUUGGUGACCCUUUAGGAUGGUUAAAAAGAUGUGAAAUUUUUUUUAACAAUCAGCGAACCAACGAAGAAGACAAAGUCGGCUUAGCUUCAUUCCAUCUCUUAGGAGAAGCACAAUUGUGGUUUGAUCAAAUCGAGGAAGAGGAGGCAAAUUUGGAUUGGGAGCGUUUUAGAGAGUGUUGUCAUGUCAGGUUUGGGCCACCUAUGAGUAAUAACCCCUUGGGGGAACUUGCAAACUUAAGACAAACUGGGACGGUAGAAGAAUAUCAACGUCAAUUUCAAUCACUACUGGCUAGGACUACUGAUCUUAAACCUCGACAACAAGUAAACCUUUUUACUGCCGGAUUAGUAGAGGAACUUAGAAUUGAUAUUGAGAUGCAACAACCGGGAAACCUUGGAGUUGCAAUGAAUAUGGCUCGAGCUUUGGAACGGAAACAAAAAGUCUCUUCCAAGAUGUUAUCUCAAACCAAUCUAAACUGGUCAGCUUCCCAAAACACUGGCAGCAAUUCCAUUAUUCCAACAACUAAGAGCUUUGCAAAGGGAGGAGGACAAACAACGAAACCAAUGGGGAAUAACAGCAAAAUAGGUUCUUCCACACCAUUUAUCAAAAGAUUGACACGAGUAGAGAUGGCGGAGAGAAAGGCUAAGGGAUUGUGUUAUAAUUGUGACGAGUCUUACUCCAUGGGGCACAAAUGUAAAAGGCUAUUUUGGAUAGAAGUACCAGAUAUUGAAGAUGAGCAAGAUAAUGAGGUAGAUGAUCUUGAAAUUUCCUUACAUGCCAUUAGAGGAACUUGCAAUUCAACUACUAUGCAACUACCAGCAAAGGUGUCAGGAAAAACAGUGUUAGUUCUCGUUGAUUCAGGCAGUACACAUAACUUUCUACGCGAAGGUCUAGUGCCAAAAUUGGGACUGAAAAUACAAAAGAAAAGGGGGUUACAAGUAUGUGUGGCAAACGGAGAACGGGUUCCUAGCAUUGGCAUUUGUAAAUCAGUACAGUUCGUUGUGGCCAAUGACAACUUUCAAGCUAAUUUUUAUACAAUACCAUUAGAAGGGUUUGAUAUGAUUCUGGGGGUUAAAUGGUUGUGUACCCUUGGUCCAAUUUUAUGGGAUUUCAGCUCCUUCAUUAUGCAAUUUGCAGUAAACAAGAAGAAGAUACUCUGGCAAGGGCAGCACCCAGAGGAAGUUCCACAACUCAGCUUGAUACAGGGACAGGAUUUAACUAAUAUAGUAUUAAAUAAGCUACUGGUAGAAUUUGCGCAUUUAUUCCAAGAACCAUCUGGGUUACCUCCUAACUGCAAAUGUAACCAUCGUAUAACUCUCAAACCAGGAACGAGACCAAUUGUAGUCAGGCCUUAUCGAUAUCCACAUUUUUAAAAGGAUGAGAUUGAGAAGCAGUGUGACCAAAUGUUACAACAAGGAAUCAUUCGACCCAGUAGAUCACCAUUCUCUUCUCCAGUACUAUUAGUAAAGAAGCAUGAUGGGUCAUGGCAUUUUUGCAUCGAUUAUCGAGAGCUUAAUGCUUGCACUGUUAAAGACAAAUAUUCGAUUCCUGUCGUGGAUGAAUUGUUGGACAAACUUCAUGGGGCAAAAUAUUUUACAAAAUUGGAUUUACGAUCGGGAUAUUUUCAAAUUAGAAUGGCAACUAUUGAUGUGGAAAAGACAGCCUUCCGAACCCACCAUAGACACUUUGAGUUUCUUGUCAUGUCAUUCGGGCUUACCAAUGCCCCUUCCACAUUUCAGAGUUUGAUGAAUGACAUUUUUCGCCCUUACUUGCGUAAGUUUGUUUUAGUCUUCUUUGAUGACAUAUUAAUUUAUAGCAAAACAUGGACUGAACAUAUGCAUCAUGUAAGAUUAGUUUUUGAACUCUUGCGGGAUAAUAUGUUGUUCUUAAAGAAAUCCAAGUGUUUCUUUGGAGAGUCUCAGGUAACCUACCUCGGUCAUGUCAUCCAUGGUGAAGGGGUCGAGGUUGAUCACACUAAAAUUAAAGAUGUCACCGAUUGGCCAACUCCUAAAACUACCAAGGCUCUACGAGGCUUUCUUGGGUUGGCAGGAUAUUACAGAAAAUUCAUCAAGAAUUAUGGACAAGUGGCUACACCCUUAACAUCUCUUCUAAAGAAAAAUGCCUUCAACUGGACUAUGGAAGCUGAUGUUGCUUUCACCCAAUUAAAAAUUUCUCUUUCAGCAGCCCCAGUUUUGCAAUUACCCAACUUUACGGAGGAAUCUGUGGUUGAAUGUGAUGCUUCGGACAGCGGGUUUGGAGCUGUACUAUAGCAAAAGGGACACCCCAUUUCCUUUUUUAGUUGCAAGAUUGCAGAUCGACACCUUAAGUUGGCUGCCUACGAACGUGAAUUAAUUGGUUUGGCAAAGGUAGUGACUCAUUGGCGACCCUAUCUUUGGGGAAGGCAUUUCCUCAUCCGUACUGAUCACUUUAGUCUUAAGUAUUUGUUAGACCAACGACUUACGACAUCUCCACAACAACAUUGGAUCAGCAAGCUAAUAGGGUUUGAUUUUCGAGUAGAAUAUAAAGCAGGGAAGUUGAACAGGGCUGUAGAUGCUUUAUCUAGAAAAGACGAAGACUUACCACACCUCAUGACUGUUUCAUUCCCUCAAGUUGAAAUUCUUAAAGCCAUCAGAUGAGAAAUAGAAGCUUCCACAGAAUUAUCACAACUCCAGCAAAGAAUUCUAGAAGGAGAGUUAGGGCCCGAUUGGGUUGCACAAGAUGGGUUGAUUUUCUUCAAAGGGAGGUUGUACUUUUUACCUACCUCACCAAUUAUUCCCACUCUUAUCUCCUCUAUAAAUGCUAUGGCACAUGAAGGGGAAUUGAAAACAUUGCAUCGUCUUCGCCAAGAUUUUUUUUGGAAAGGAAUGAAGCUUGCAACCUCAGAAUUUGUGCAACAUUGUUUAGUAUGCCAACGCCACAAAUGGCAAAAUUUACAGCCCGCAGGUUUACUUCAACCUCUUCCAAUACCACAACAUGUUUGGGCUGAUAUUUCUAUGGAUUUCGUGGAGGGUCUACCCAAAGUAAAAGGGAAAUCGGUACUUAUGGUGGUUGUGGACAGACUGUCGAAGUACGCUCAUUUUUUACCUUCGUCCCAUCCAUUUACUGCUAUAUCUGUUGCUACCGUCUUUUUUGCAGAGGUAUUCCGACUUCAUGGCUUGCCUGAAUCCAUGUUUCAGACCGUGAUAAAGUUUUCCUCAGCCUGUUUUGGAAGGAAUUAUUUCGUCAAAGUGGUUCUAAGCUCGCUUUUUCCUCAGCAUACCAUCCCCAAUCUGAUGGUCAGACAGAGGUAGUUAACCGAACAAUAGAAAUGUACCUACGAUGCCUCUCUAGUGAUCGUCCACGACAGUGGGUCGAUUGGGUUCCAUGGGCUGAGUAUUGCUACAACACCUCAUAUCACACUGCCCUAAAGGCCACUCCCUUCCAAUUAGUAUACGGUAGGGAUCCACCUCGACUUCUCUCCUAUUCAGCUGGUUCUACAAGGAUUGAAGCUGUGGAUAAGGCUCUACAAGAUAGGGAUGCACUUUUACACAAUGCUCGGGAUAGACUCUAGCAAGCUCAGCAACGAAUGAAAGCCACUUAUGAUUUGAGGCACAGAGAGUUGAAUUUUAAAGUCGGGGAUUGGGUUUGGUUACGGCUUCAAUAGUAUCAACAAUUGACGAUAACUAAAUAGAAGCAUCACAAGUUAUUGCCAAAAUAUUUUGGUCAUUUUAAAGUCUUGAACAAAAUAGGAUCAGUGGCCUAUCAGCUUGAAUUACCUACAGGCAGCAGAAUACAUGAUGUAUUUCAUGUUUCUUUCCUCAAAGAAUACAAGGGUCCUCAACCAGAUGCGGUAGGAGACUUGCCCUUAGUAUAUGAUGGCAAGGCCUUGCCUACUCCACAAGCUAUUAUUAAUACCAGGCUUAAUCGAGGUCGGCGGGAACUAUUAGUGCAAUGGGCAGGAUGCCCUCAAGAAGAUGCCACUUGGGAACCAAUUGAUAAUUUUCGAGCAGCUUAUCCUGAAUUUGAGCUUGAGGACAAGCUCAACUCCGAGAGGGGGAGUAAUGAUAUAGAUGUUUUCAUUGGAAAACAAUAUCAACGGAGGAAUAGAAAUUAGAAUUCUACAUUUAUUUAAUUUCUUUAGGAGUUUUAGUUUUACUAGGUUUUUUAUUUCCUUAUAAAAUUUAAAUUAGGAAUUCUAUUAGGACUUUAAAUUAGGAAUUAGAUUAGGAUUUUCCUUUGUAAUUAACAGCCUAUAAAAAGGCUGCCAAUAUGAAAUAAAAGGGGGGUUUAUUUUUUAUCACAAACGUUAGUUUGGGAAGGGGGUUCAGUCAAAGACGAAUCUGCCUUUGAGUAACCAUAGGUCGAAGCAAGGAUACUUUCUCGUCUAGACCUGUGACUAGAUCUUACGCCAAGGCGCAUAAUAAUUUGCCAGAGAAUUUGCAGCAAAUAGAAUUCUUGGAGGAGCUUGACUUAAGUGAAAGAUCCAUGACAAAACCACCAGUCUUCAUUUUUCAAUUUAAAAACCUUAAAGUUCUUUCUUUUAAUGGGAGAAAGGGACCUCCUUCCAAGUUACAAAAAUAUCUACCUUCUCUGUUAAAGGUAAUCCAAAAAGGAAGGACAAAUUUCAUGGCUCCGAUGUUGCCUUCGUUGUUAGGUUUGAGUUCAUUAAGAAGGCUGAAUCUAAGGGACUGCAAUUUUUGUGAAGGAGAUAUUCCUAGUGAUAUUUGACGCCUAUCCUCUUUGAUAGACCUUGAUCUUGGUGGUAACAACUUCAUCAGCAUACCUUCGUGUCUUAUUCAAUUUUCCAAGCUUGAAUCUCUUAGAUUGUAAGAUUGCAGGGAGCUUAAAUCGUUGCCUGAGCUUGUAACUAGAAUAAAUUUUGUACACAUAAAUAGUUGUGCUUCUCUGGAAAUAGUUGCAAAUCCAUCAAAAGUUUGCAAUUCAAAUUAUUGGUCAAGUUAUUGGUCAGAUAUAGUAGGUGUUAAUUGCUUCAGAUUGGCUGAGAACAUCGGUGCCUUAACAUUGCUGAAAAAACAUCUAAAGGUUCGUUAAUAUCUCUGUUUCUCUGUGUCUUAUAAUUAUUCAUAGUGUUAAUUACCAAACAAGCGAAGUUUUAUUUUGCAGGUUUUUGGAAAUUCAAGAGAAAUGUUUGAUGUUAUUCUACCUGGAAGUGAAAUCCCAGAAUGGUUUAGUCAACAAAGAGGUGAGUCUUGGUUUAAGAUAAAUUUGCCUCUGGAAGUUCGGAAUGAUAGUCAAUGGAUGGGAGUUGCUUUGUGCUGCAUUUUUGUCAGUGAUGAUGCUUCAAGGGAUGAGUAUCUCAUGUGUAGAGCUGCUAUCCAUGGUAGAUAUUCUAGACAAGGCAAUUGCACUCAAUCUAAUUUCCAGGGUAGAAAUCCUCGAGUAGUCAAUUGUAGUGGCUGGCGUGUAAAUGAUGAUUUUGACUCGCCCGUACUGAAGGACCACAUUUUAAUUCGUUAUUUGUCGCGUGACGAGUUGUAUCCAAUUUCCUUGGAAGACAAAUGGGGUGAACGAGAAACCAAUAAUUUACUGACAACAAAUUGCUUAGAUCCGGGAUGCCAUCAACUUGAGCUGUCUUUCGAAAGACAUAACAGUGUUAAGGUGAAGAAGUGAGGUGUUAGAAUAGUGUAUGAGAGAGAUCUGGAAGAGAUGGAACAAAUACAAGAGCUGCAUAAUAAUCAGUGUUGUGCAAAUUUUGAAGAUAUCCAGCAACACUCUACUGAUGAUGGAUCAAUAGGUAACAGUUCCCUAAUAAAGCGAAAACGUAAUAUGUAUGAGGAGAUGGAUGAAGGGCCGCAACCAAAACGAAUGCAAAAAAAUUUCAGUUCUAUAAUGGGCAGACUUGGGAAGAAGCACUAAUUGUGGUAAACUAUUUCUUUGGCCUUGUCCUAUUAAUUUUUUUUAUGACUUUUUUUUUAUUUACAGUUUCUUUUAUUUCAUUUAAAGUAUUCAUUUUCCAUAUAUUUACUCUGCAAUAAAUGAGAUAUAAUCUUUCAAAUAUAUAUAAUUAAGUUAAAAAUUCUAAACAUAUACAUGUUAAACAUGAACUUGUAUUCUAUGCCUAUCCCAAAUUUGGAUAAUAUUUUCUUUUUAUAACAUUCAAUAUUUUAUUCAUUUUUAUAUAAUUUGAUUAUAUGAUCGCAGAUUGAAGAAAUAUAAUCGGCUGUAAAUAAAAUGUGGAGGAAGUUUUGAUUGCUUCAUGAAGCAACUAAUAAGUAAGGUGCGAAUCCUUUGUCAAUGUUUAGGUUAUAAUCAUCCUAAAUUGUUGUUUCAUUUUUGUUCGAAAUUGUUAGACUUCAAGUUAUGUGUUAAAUGUGAUAUGUGUCUAGUUUAAUCUUUUAAAAUUGUUUUUAUAUAUUUGAGUAAAAAAUUAUAUUUUUUUACUUCUAAAAAACUCUAUUUUUUCUCCAAAUCAUUUGCUUCUUUUUGUUUUUGCCUAGCUGUGGUUUUAGCCUCCGGGCUAAUUACAGCCCGCCUUUUUCUCUUACCCAUCAACUCUUUUAUCUUUCUUCUUCUGAUUCACUCUAUACAUUAUCUCUUUUAAGUGUACAGAUUUAUUUUGUAGGAUCUUUGUUGUCUUCACAAGAUGUGAUGGAUAGAUGACGGUGCUUAUCAUUAUUAAAACACCACUGACCACCGAUAGUUUCUUUUAGAAAGCGGGUAGCUUGUCAUUGGCUUCUUAAUCUGUUUCUGUUUUGAGAGUUUCAGAAUAAUAAAUGAUUUUAUAAGUCAUCUUGGACUCGUGUUAUCUUAAGUUUUAUAUAUUUUUUGUUUGUUUUUCCAUUGUUUAAUAAGUCUUUCACUUUUAGAAGUUUCUAUCUACUUUUGUAAUACGUUUUUUAGUCUUGCUUAUACAUGUAGUCUUGCUUUUGCGAGUAAUUUUAAGGUUGGUUUUGUCGUCGUUUCCUCUCUAGUUUGGUGGAUGCUCGGUUCUUUUGCCAAUUUAUGUCCGCCGCUUUGGACCAUCCAGGGUUGAUUUCCUUAUUGUAUUAAGUACUUGAAUCAAUUCUAAUAUAUUGUGCUUGAUUUAUGACAGAGCCGAGUGCCAACAUGCCAUAAUGUUAUAUUGAUGUUAAAGUUGAAGCUUUUGUUAUAUUGAUAGAGCUUGUCCUUCAGUGCGUACAACCGAUGUUUUUUUUUCGAAUUGUAUGGUAUUAUAUUGAAUGAAUUAAUGAAUUUCUCUUCAAAAAAAUUAUUUUUAUAUAUUUAAAAUAUUAAAUAAAAAUAAUAUAGAAAAAAUAUUAAUUUAGUCCUGAACGUUUACAUUUUUUAUCAUUUUACCUCUUAAAUUUGACUCUCAACUUUAAAAAAAGAAGGUCAAAUUUGACCAUCAACUUUUUAAUAUAGGUGAAAUGAUUUUUUGUAAUGAGAAUACUAACUAAAAUAUUAAAUUUUUAAACACAACAACCUGCAUGCGAUUCACAUGUACUCCAAGUUAGAUAAAAUAAUUAAAAUAAAUAAUUAAGAUAAUUUAAAUAGAAUAAUAAAUCUACAAUUAGAACAAUAAGGACUAAAUUAAAGAAGAUAGAUAGAAAAAUAGAAUGUGAUAUGUAGAAGUCUUAAAAAACCUUAGAAACACGAAGAAUCCACAAUCUCCUUCAAGCGACUCCAAUUUAAUCUUAGUAAAACUCUUAAGUAUGUUAGAACCCAAUAUGAUUUAAACUCGAAUUAAAAGCUCGAAACUCGUAAUUUCUGUCACAAUCCCGUUUAGAAAUUCUGCUCAUGCGAUCUUCACUAAAACAGUCAUAAAUUGAGCUCCUGAGCUCAAAAUCGAGUGAUGCAAAAUGUAUUUCGAAGCUAAGAGAUAGAUCUUCAAACGCCAUGGACAUCUCAACUAAAAAAUGCUAAGAUCUCAUCCAAAAAGUCGUCGCAAGUCUACUGAUUUCCCAAGCUUAAAAAUUGACAACUUCGGUGAAUUUCACCCCAUCCGUGCAUAUAUCAUACAUCUUCUUGGAUAUUGAACAAAGCCCUCCAGAGAAACGAGCAAUUAGAAGGAUGUAUAGAAGAAGACCAUUUACUUAUUACCCCAUACUUGUUUCGAAAGACUUCUAACCCAUAGCACAUUCAUGUUAGAAAUGACAUUAAAAGUUACUUUAAGCAUGAAGGCUUUAUUGAGGUCUCGUACUUCCCUUAACCCAAGUCCACCAUUCUUCAAAGGCAUGCAACAUUUAUCACAACUCACUAAAGUUGGUUUUUGGUUACCAAAUGUUGACUCCCAAAUGAAUCCUUGAACCUGCUUCUCAAUUUUGUUGCAAUUGUCUUGGUGAUCACCUUAAACAAUACCAUAUGGAGAUUGAUCGAUUUAUAAUGAUAUAGCAAUUCCAAUCCAACCACCUUGGGCACCAACGCAACAAGAGUUUGAUUCAAAUCCAAAGGAAUUGCGUCACCUUCAAAGCAUUUUGGAAUCAAGCAACAAAUUUGAUCAUUAAACAAAACUCCAUUGAGAUUGACAAAAGCAAGAAUUGGGUCACCUUCAAACCACUUUUGAAUCAAGCAACAAAUUUGAUCCUUAAACAAAACUCCAUUGAGAUUGACAAAAGCGAGCAUGGAAAUCAUCAACAUCAGGAGCCUUCAACGGCGCCAUAUUAAACAAAGCUUUCCUUACCUCUUUCUUCAAAACUCUAUCAUCUAAAGCCACAAGUUCCUCAACUCUCAAAGCAGGAAAGCAAUUGGGUAAUGAAAACUCACCUGGGUACGUUGCAUGUACAAUGUAUAAUGUGCUCCUAUUGAUAUCGGAAUAAAGGAUCGCAAUCUAUUGUCACAUGUUGCAGUCUAGUGACAAAAUUUUGUAUCUAUAGACAAAUUUUUAACUCAUUAAAUAUCUUAUAUGCGAGCAUGUAAUAUUUUAGUUUUUCAAGAUAAUGUAUGAAUCAUUUUACUAUUUUCCCAUGGUCCAUACUCAAAAAUUUUCAAAUAUCUAUCCAACAUCUUAACAAUAUAUGUAAUAUUUUUACACAUAUAAACCUGAACAUACAUUCGAUUCCCCAUUGAUGAAGCAUAGUGAUAUUUUUCCAUUUCCUUAAUCUUAAAAUUAAUCUUGAGACAUUGAUCAAGAUUAAACUUGUCUCAUUUAAUGAUAUAAUUAUCACCUAAUCGACAAUCUUGUCAAAUCUCUUUAAUAUAUUUUGAGUAUAGUAUAGAAUAUAAGCAUGAAGGAGAAAAACAGAUCAAAUUUCUUGGGAACAACGAAGAGUUUUCUAAGCAAUUUCUCAAUACAUUUCCAACCAUUUCCUUUAUUUCCAAAUGAAAGCGGGUGGGUGUGGAAAUUGGGGGAUGAUAGAUGUUCUCUCCAGGAAGAAUCCAAGAAAGAGUUGACAAAAUGGAUCCUGCAAUAAUUUUAAGUAAUAAUUGAAGUGUUGGACGGUUUGUGUCUUACAAACCUUUUUUUUUUUUUUACAUUAUAAUAUUUACUUUAUAAAUUAUUAAGUAUUAACUAAUUGUGUUUUACAUGCUUAACUAGUUAUGUAAUGUACAUCUAAUUAUUUUUAUUUCAUUAAUUAUAUUUAUUUUAUUAAUUACUGUAAUUAAUUUUUAUUUAAAGAUAUAUGAUUCUUUAUUUUAUGUAAUGUGAAAUAAUUAAAAUAUUUUAUUGGUAAUAAUGAAGUUAACUUUUUAAUGUUUAAUUCGAGUUUUAGAGUUGAUUUGAUUAAAAUAUAUAAUUUAGUUUGUUAUAUAUUUUAUCAAACUAACUCUAAAACUUGAAUUAAAUCACAUCCAUUUGAAUGUAUUUGACAAUUUAAAUGUAAAAAUAAACAAAUCCAUAAUUAACACUAAAUUUAUUCUAUUAACAAAAUUAUGAAGAAUUCAAACCUAAUAAUAUUAGCAAUUAACUUUCAUCAAAUUAAUCCUAUAACCCAACUAAAAAGUUAAUAUCCUUACUUUUGGGUACCAAGAUAUAUAACUUUUGUCAACUACAAGUAAUAAUUUGGACCACGAAAAAUAAUAUAGAUACCAUAUUAGAAAAAAUGUCAAGCUCGGUUACCGAAUAUAUAUUAAGCCAUUUUAUUACAAGAUAUUGUUUAAUUAUAAAUAUUAAUAUAUUAAAAUUACAAAAAAAAGUGUAAUUUAAAGAUGAAUAUAAAGUACAAUUCAAUAUUUAUCGAACUUUAUCUACUCAAAAUAUUUAUUUAGCCCUAUUCAAUAAUCGGUUGAAAAAAUCAACUAAAAGAAUUAAUGUUUCAAUAAUUUUAUUUUUUUAAAUAUGUUUGAUAAUCGUUAAUAAAAAUCACUUUGUAGAAAUUUUUUCAUAAAAUAUGUAAAACAUAAUAAGUUAAUACGAAUCUAUUUAUCAUUUAGUAAAGAAUAUGUUUAAUUAUUUGUAUUUUCUUUGAUUUCCUUUUAGACUAUAUUGCCAUCACAUUUACUCCCAAUUUUUCUUCACUUAGUUCUUUUUUUCAACAAAAUUUUCGAUGAAACAUGAGACUUCAUUUUUUCUAUUCUUGGUAUAAUAUUUAUUUUUCAUAAUGUUUAUAAUAAUUUAUAUAUAAUAGUAUAAUUUACUACAAAUAUUUCAUAUUUAUAGUAACAUUGUUUAAAAUAUGAAUUUGUUUAAAUAAUAUGCAGUGUCAAAAAUUUAAGGAUAAAAUUGUAACUUAAUUAUUUUUUAUAAUUUAAUAUUUAUAUCUAUCAAAAAAUCUAAUUAUAUUCAAUGCUUAAUUUUAAGUAAUAUAUCAAACAUAUAUUAUAACUAAAAUUCAACACUUAAUUUUUUGAUAUUUAAUUUUUUCGCACUUGAUUUUUUUAGUUUAUCAAACGGGGCUUUAUUUUAAAUAUAUUAAUAAAAACAUUUUUUUGGUGAAUUACAAAACAGGGCAAAGUCCGAACAAACCAUCAAGUCAUUUCACAUAUGGAUCCUACUGCCCAUUUCAUUGUAUUGCUACCAUUUCACAUAUGUUGAAGAAAUGUCCGAAGAAAUCUGUGCUUUCUGAGAAGGACAAGCCGGAAGGUAAGACCAAAAGACAUGGUUCAAGUGCAAGGGUGUCGAAGCCGAGAAGGCCAAAGUGAACGGAAAGAAACCAGUAGAGUGCUUCUUGUGCUAUGUUCCGCAUAGGUUGUGGAAAAGUCUGUAACAUCUUGAUUUUGGGCUUAGUCGGAACAGUGGUUUCGGGACCACAAAUUCGACGAGGAAAAUUUCAUUUUUAUUAUAUUUUUAUGGUCUACGAUUUCACGGAAUGAUUUCGUGAAAAUUUCGUUCAAAAAUUUCGACGUUUGGGCACUCAAUUUGGUCAAAAGGACUAAAUUGUAAAAAGUGCAAAAGUUGAGUUUUACGUGUUAGAAGUGUUUAAUUGUUAUGAGUUUUUAAAUCAAAUGUCCUUAAAUGGUAAUUAGACCAUUUUGAAGUUUGUGGACAAAAAUUGGACGUGGAUGAAAUUUUUUUGAAGGUUUAAUAGUAAGGGCAUUUUGGUCAUUUGUAUAUUAAAUGAAAUAAAAUGGAAAAAAUAACACAAAAUGAUCAUCUUCUCCAUAUGAAGGCCGAAAUUAGCAUGGGGGAAGCCAUGGCUAGGGUUUUCAAGCUUUCCAAGCUCAAUAAUCAAGAGAAACGAGAUUCAAGUCGUGAUCGAGGGAAAAACAAAGUUUACAAUGAAUAGGCUCGAUUGCUAAUAUUUUGUAUCGAGGUAAGUUUGUAUGAUAAUAAUAAUGCAAUUUUAUGUUUGAAUUAUAUUUAUUACUAUUAUUGCAUAUAUUGUAUGAUUUAAUAUAUUGGAAAAGUUGAUGGAAUGGUGUUUAUGAUGUGGAAAUAUGACAUGAAAGAAUGUUACAUGAAAUGCAAGAAAAUGAUGAUACAUGACAAGUGAUAUAUGAAAUAUGUGAUUUAUGUUAUGUAAAUUCUUAAAAGCUGAUUUGCUAUUUGAGUUGUGUCUUAUUAUACUAUGAAUGGACAAUUGGUACUAUGGAUAGUGAGAUCGACACUUCGAGUAAGUUCGUAUAUAAAUAAUCUAUCGAUUUUUUUUAUGUUAAUAUAUUUUGAUAUCAUAUGAAAUAUGGCUUCCUAUCAAAUGAUUAUUUGAUGUAAAUUAUGAAUUUAAAUUGAUUACGGACAAUUUAAUAAAAUGUUGAAAAGUGAGGAAUUUCCCGGUUGAACCUUCGGAAUAGAAACGAUAAAAAUGAGCUAUUGUGAGGUCACGUGUGUAGUACUAAGUGCAGGCUACUACGUGUACCAGAUAAUUGGUCACAUGUGUAGUACUAAGUGCAGGCUACUAUGCGUACCUGAUAACUUUGAUCACGUGUGUAGUACUAAGUGCAGGCUACUACGUGUACCGGAUAAUUGGUCGCAUGUGUAGUACUAAGUGCAGGCUACUAUGCAUACAGAUAACUUCGGCUACAAGUGUGGAAAUGAGAAAAUGUGCAGGCAAUUGUGUAUCUGUUAUUAUUCCGAUGAGUUCAACGGGAAAUCGAUUAAGUGAAAAUAAAUGUGAAAGUGAUUAUGUGAUGAACAAGUGCAAGUAUAUGUUUAUUUGAAUUUAUGAGCAAUAUGCUCUAUAUUUGAGCGAACCUUGGUAAAAUGGAAGGGAUUAAGUGAAAUUGUGUAAAAGUGAACUUUAGUAGUAAAACAGUGUUGGACAGCAACAGUGCCUGAAUUUGAAAAUUUACCAAAAAUUGUGUAAGUUGAAUUAAAUUUCAAAUAAAAUAUGUAAUUAAAUUUUAUUGAGUCUAUUUUCACAUAAAAGAAACAGAGGAAGCAAAAGAAUUCCAUAUUAUGUGAUAUUUGAAUUCUUGUGAGACAGUGUCUGAAUGAAUUCGAGAUCCCCUGUUCUGAAUUGGAAAAAUUGUUAAAAAUUAUAGAAAAAUAAUUUUGGGGUAUAAUUUAUAUGAAUAGAAUAUUGGAUGAGUCUAAUUUUAAUAAAAACAAAUGAAACAUCAUCCGAGUUUUGUACUAUGAGAUAAAUAAAUUUUAGUGAAGAAAGGUCGAAGCUGUUAAACAGCAAAAUAGGGGGCUUUGAAUAAUAACCUGUACUUAUUGGAUUUACUAAAAAUUCUUAAAAUUUUAUGGUGAAAAGAUAUAUGAGUCUAGUUUUUGUUAAAAUUUACGGAUCUUAAUUUUGAGUUCCGUAACUCUAAAUAUAAAUGAUUUAGUGACUAUUACUCAAGAAAAUAGCUUAACCAGAACAUGUGUAAAUGUACAAAUGAGUUAGUUUUAUUGUGGGAAGCAUGUUAGUAAAUUGCUUAUUAUUAUUUCAUGUGAGCUUACAAAGCAUAAAGCUUACCCCCUCCUUUCCAUUUCUUUUAGUGUUGUCAGGUUAGCUCAGGGUUAGAGACCGUCGGAGGUAGCAUCACACUAUCAAGCCAACACCUUGACAGUAUAAACACAUAUGCUAGAUUUAUCAAGUAAGUGGCAUGUAUAGGGACCUAGUUUUAUAACAUGUGUUAUUAUAAUUUGGCCAAAUAUAUUGGUCUUUAGUGAGCUAAUGAUUCUGACUUAUAAAUCUAGCUAUUUAUGUUAUGUUUGAUAUUGGUGAUGUGCAUAUGCUUGGUUGUCAUGCAUGGUUGGUAAUAAGUUGUUUAAGUUGUUUAAUUGAUGAAUUAAGUUUAGUAACACUUCGUGCUUGACUCCGGAGAUGGUCUCGGGUACGAGGGCGUUACAAAGUCUCUAGAAGUUUGCCGUCAAAAGGGGCAAUGGGUCAAACAAAGCACCCAAGAAGCUUGGUUCGAGUAAGAAAAAAGUUGAAGCCAACAGAGCAAAGAGGAGCAAGAAGAAACGAGUGAAAUGACUCUUAUGCCGUGGUCCGCAUGAGUUACGGAACUAUCCAGAGCAAUCCAAGUUAGCCAUGGUCAAGAGAAAGGCAACGACGGAGCUUGUUGAGUCAUCAGAGGGGCUUCUACCUAAGGAAAAGGUGAGUUGUGCAUCGAACUUAGAGGAAGAAGUAGCGAUGCAAACAUUGAAGCUAAGACCAAUGAGGCUCAAUUCUAUGGAAGCGACGGAGCUUGUUGAGUCGUUGACUAAGCUUCCAUCCAAGGAAAAGGUGAGUUGUGCAUCAAACUUAGAGGACGAAGUAGCGAUGCAAACUUUGAAGCUAGGAUCAAUGAGACUCAUCUUUGUUGAUUAAUUGGAGGAGCUACCACCUAAGGGAGAGGUGGAUUGUACAUUGAACUUUGCAAAGGUGGUGAUGCAAACUGGACAGUUGACAAGAGUAAAUACUACGAGUAAGGUACAUUUCAAACACUUUGGUAUUAUUUUUCAUUCUAACUUGUUGGCUUGGUAAGAACAUAAUGGCCUUUUCAAAAUUCUUAAGCGAGGAGGCCAAGGGUCUAUAGGCAUAUCAAAUUCUAGUUGUGAGAAUCAAGAGGAUUCCAAUCGAAGUGAGUCAGAAUGUGGGCAAGUGAGAGCUGUGACUUCUUGCCAGUGAGAUGUACCAACGAGCGGGAUGGUUCGAGUUAAGAGGCAAAAAAAAUUGAGGCAAAAGUUCCAAAGGAAGGGACAACCUGAUAUGAGACUAGUCUGGAAAAAACCAAAGCAAUAAGAAAGAUUCAAGGCAAAUCAAGUAAGUGUCAUUCCAAUCUAAAUGAGUCAGAAUGUAGGCAAGUGAGAGCUGUGACUUUUUGCCAGUGAGAUGUACCAACGAGUGGGAUGGUUCGAGCUAAGAGGCAAAAAAAAUCGAGGCAAAAGUUCCAAAGGAAGGGACAACCUGAUAUGAGACUAGUCUGGAAAAAGCCAAAGCAAUAAGAAAGAUUCAAGGCAAAUCAAGUAAGUGUCAUUCCAAAUGCGCAAUAAAGGCGUUACAAGAAUGAAUAAGGGAGAAUGUCACGGGCCACAAUUAAAAGCUUGUGAAAAUUUCACAUAAUGCAUCCUAAGGAGGUCUAUCAGCUAGAUGAGGCUCAUUUGACCCAUAAAAGUUGGUCUGAUUCAAACAACUAUUGGUUAAGCCUAUCUAUUUGAAGCUUGGGUGUGGCCCAAUGAUGUCGAUAUGGAAAGUUAGACUAAUCUUAAGAUUAGAUAUGAUUUGAUUAUGUAAAUCUUAUAAAUCCCUUCAUUGUAGGGAUAGACUAAUUUCAUCUGUCGAUAUAACUUGAUCUAAACCAUCGAUUUUAAGAGAGCUCAACUAUAAAUACAAUUGAGAGCAUUUACUCAAACACCUCUCAUGCAUAGUUUUCUGUGACUAUUCUAUCCUUUUGAACAUUAUUUUGGCUUUGUGUUGUUUUCGUUAUAUAAAUUGGUAUAUUGGAGGAAUAAAGCCGCACAGAUUGUAAAGCAAAAAAUCAAAGUCCAUAACAAUAGAACUUACAAAUUCGAAACUAAGAUUACAACAAAAUAAAGGUUUUUAUAAAACAGAAUUUGACUUUUAAGCAUUCUGAAAUACAUCCAAACUAUGCGAAAAAGCUUUCAUCCUUUCUUAUUUGCUGUGACUCGUGUGAACUUGAUGCAUUUGAAACUUGUAUAAAAAAAUCAACAUCAAGCAAACAAAUUACAAAUUAGAAAAUGAAAACUCAAUAAGCAGUCAACACCCAUACAUUAUGCACCAAGGAUGAACAGGAAACACUCAGACAAAUUUAAAUCCCCUUCUAGCUUGUUAAUAAGAAGCAGAAAUCAAAAUUGUAGAGUGAAAUAAUAUUUGAACAUGAACAUAAAUCACUUUGUGCUAUAGGUGAUCCUAGGAUCCAACAAAGCCAUUCUCAAGUCUAUACAAGCAAACAGUAAAGCAUUUACUACACUAUACACAAGUAAAAUGGAAAUGAUGUGUUAUAUAAGCAAGUAACAAGAACACCUUUCAAACAAGAACAUUGUAUCCAUUUUUUUAUCAAAGGUAUUGCUUAGCUUUUGAAGCUACACAUUAAGAUUAGAAUCAACAUAUGCAUAUCUUAAAAUAAAUUGAUACUAUUAUAUUUUACCUGUUUGUUGCCCCUUCGUUGGAUAUUGAAUUGAUGCCCAUGCUUGGCACGUGUGGAAACCUCGUUUGCAUGAUAGUUGUAUGGCCUUGAUGAAAGAGAUAUAAUCAUUAAACUCAAUGGCUUUUCUCAAAACUGAUAUCAGUAAAUACAACAGCCUGCACAACGAAAGAUGAAGACAAGGUUAUGCGAUGGAAUAGAAUAGAAUGUACAAAUCCUAGAAAUACUCGUGCAAUAUAGAGCAAGAUUUUAGCUCAAAUUGCAUACUAAUUUCUAGGUAAAUCACUUUCAGGAAAUUUGCAUCAUACAUAUUGUAAAUGCCCAAAUUAGACCGGGCCCAAUGAACAAACAAAACAGGCUCAACCCAUACCUUUUACAAUUCACAGCCCAAAUACAAAGCUCGAACUAUGACCCAAUCCAAAGCCCAACUAAACCUAACCCAAAGCCCAAAUUUAUCAGAAAAAAAAAGAAAAAACCCUAGGGUUCCUAUGCUAGGCGCUGUACCUCCCUCCCCCACGUGGUGUCAGCGCAUUUUGCGCCCGAACAGACGCCCGUCCCAUCGCCUCUGCUCACCUACUCUGACGUUACCUGCAAAACAAAGGAGAAGCACACAAAGCAGAAGGAAAGAGAGCGAAAAACAACAAACAAUAGAAGAGAGCAGAAAAUAUUUUCUAUGUAUUCGGCUAUAUAAGCCGAGGGAAGAACCAAAUGUAAGAGGGGAUUUCGGUAUACAAAAAAAAAUUGUAUUACAGGCAAAUUUUUUCAGAAGUAAAAAGCAAAAAAAUAAAAAGUUGAUUUUAAAUCUCAUUUUUGGGUUCUCUUUUUUCUUUCGGUUUUCUUUUUUAUUUAUUUUUCUGCUCUUUUAAAUUUCUUUUUCAACAAAAUAAAUAAAAGGAGAAAGAAGGAAAACUUACCCAAACCCGGGGGUUGCGUCGCCGGGAUCUUCUUUCCCAUCGUUAGAAUCGACGCAAGGAGAAGGUCGAGGCUCUUUUCUCCUCUUUUUUCUCCGAUUUAUGGAAGCUUCAUCAUCGAAUUAGCCUUCAAAAGGGUCAAAAACCCGAUUUCGUGAGGCUUUAACCACCGUCUACGGUGGAAGCCACAACGGGUUCACGGUGGGCCACAAAGAGGCGUGACGGCGGCGCAAAAGCUAGGGUUUCGAAACCCUAACAGAGAGAUGGGGGAGGGGCUACUGUUUGUUUCUGAAAAGAAAGAAAAUGAGGGUUUUUCCCUUUUUUUUU